GACGAACGCUGGUGGCGUGCUUAACACAUGCAAGUCGAACGGGAUUUAGUAAACAGAAGCCUCGGUGGAAGAUUACUAAUGAGAGUGGCGAACGGGUGAGUAACGCGUGAGCAACCUGCCUAUGACAGUGGGAUAGCCUCGGGAAACCGGGAUUAAUACCGCAUAAAAUCGUAGAAACACAUGUUUUAACGGUCAAAGAUUUAUCGGUCAUAGAUGGGCUCGCGUCUGAUUAGCUAGUUGGUGAGAUAACAGCCCACCAAGGCGACGAUCAGUAGCCGGUCUGAGAGGAUGAACGGCCACAUUGGAACUGAGGCACGGUCCAAACUCCUACGGGAGGCAGCAGUGGGGAAUAUUGCACAAUGGGGGAAACCCUGAUGCAGCGACGCCGCGUGAACGAAGAAGGUAUUCGUAUCGUAAAGUUCUGUCCUAUGGGAAGAUAAUGACAGUACCAUAGAAGAAAGCUCCGGCUAAAUACGUG
rnacentral:rRNA from 1 species